rnacentral:lncRNA from 1 species
AUAUAAAUAGAAUAGGGAUAAAUUUGGAGUAUUUGCUUCCUUUCCUUUUAUUUUUUGAAUUCUUAACAAGUGUUGUAAGAGCACUUGUUAGCAUUUAUCCUUGGGCAAAUGCUUUAUCUAUAAGCAUAAGCUUCAACGGUUCAACCAUCCAUCCACCAUGAUCUAGCUGUGUUGAUUUAAAAAACUAUGGCGGUAACUUUCUACACUAGGCUUUGUAGUAUUGUAUUUCCGUUGAAUACUAUUUUAACGAUUUUUUUUUUUUUCAUAUGUAAGAGUCAAAUAUUGAAUCUCUUAUCAUUUUUUAAGUGACGUAAGAUCC